rnacentral:rRNA from 1 species
CCUACGGGUGGCAGCAGUGGGGAAUAUUGCUCAAUGGGCGAGAGCCUGACGCAGCGAAGCCGCGUGAGGGAUGAAGGUCUUCGGAGCGUAAACCUCUGUCAGCCGGGUAGAACGGUCACUGUGCUAAUCAGCAGUGAAUUGACGGUACCUGCAAAGGAAGCACCGUCUACAUCCGGGCCAGCAGCCUCGGCAAUACGGAGGGUGCGAGCUUUAAUCGGAAUUACUGGGCGUAAAGCGGUAUUAGGCGGUAUGUCAAGGCAAGUGUGAAAGCCCCGCGGUCAACUGGGGAACUGACUUUUAAACGGGCAAACUGGAGUGUGUGAGAGGAUAGUGGAAUGCCAGGUGUAGGAGUGAAAUCCGUAGAUAUCAGGAGGAACAUCAGUGGCGAAGGCGACUAUCUGGCACAUAACUGACGCUGAGGAGCGAAAGCGUGGGUAGCAAACAGGAUUAGAUACCCCAGUAGUC